rnacentral:lncRNA from 1 species
CCAACAUCUUCAGGUCCUUUCGAGAGGGGCAGGAGCCCUAGGCCCGGGGCACAGGGGGAGUGCGGUGCUGUGUGGGUGUGGGUGUAGGGGCUGAUACUAGUGUGAAGAGGUGGGGACCAGAGUGACAGCGGUUAGACAGAGAGAGGAGCUGAUCUCAAAUAGGAUGCCCGCAGAGUGAAGACUGAAGUGCAGAGGGACCCGGGCAUGCCUGGAGUCAGAGGGUCAUGCCCGCCUCCUGGGGUCCCCAGCUUUGCCUUCACCUGCCAACCUGCCUCUUGGUUCAGCUCUAGUUGGGAGCAGAGAGUCCCCGUGGGCCCCUAAGGGUGAAGCCUUGUUGGGCUGGGACAGAGAUGCAGAGAUGGGGCCAGCCUCCCAGGGGAGAACUGAGGGGGCUGGGGUGGAAGCUGGGAGAGGAGAGGCUGACCUUUGCAUGACGAAAAUAUUACAGUAUUUUUCAAAACACUCUAACAAAUCUGUACAUAUUGAUAUGCAAAAAAUUCCAUGACAACUUGUUGAGUGAAAAAAAAUGUAUUACAAAGCAGCAUGUGUGGUGUUUACAUAAAAUGACAUAUAUACGUGGGUGUGUGUGUGUGUGUGUGUGUGUGGGUGUGUGUGUGUGUGCACACAUGCAAAAGAGUGGUAUUUGGGGAGUGAUGUCUGGAAGAAUAUUCGCCAAAAUCUUAAUCCUGCGUGCCUCUGCUAUUUUUACCUUUUGGUACUGCUGAAAAUUUCUAUAUGAGUGUGUUUUACCUUUAAGUAGGAAAACGCCCAAUAAUAUUUUCAAUGGGGGGGGAUUCUUUCCAUCACAAAAGGAAUAUAACUACAUUAGUCAACAGAAAAGAAAAAUAGAGAAAGACAAGUGCCCGCGGUGCUAUCACCAAGGCAGCCCUUCAGAACAUGUGGUGGGUUUCCUUCCUGUCACCCGGCUCUGAAGCUGUUCAAAGUGGCUUUUCCAUCCAGGUAUGAUACUAGACUGGAAAGUGCCACACAGAUGUCCCCUCUCGUGG